AGGUAAAUUUCCUUUUAGCAUAUUAAGUUGCUUGAAUGAAUUUUACAUGUUUUGUUCAAGUCUGGUAAUGAUAGUGUUUUAAAUCGUGCUCAAUCGUGCUUGGAUUAGCCACUGUCUCUUUUCCCCUUCUCCAGAUAAAAUUCCAAUGGAAAUAAUAAUUUGUCAAAUUUCUUGGCUAUUUCUCAAUAAGUUCGUUCUCGGCUUUGUCACGUCAGUAUAUGAAGUUUUGGUUUUCUUCUGUUUAUUUGACUCAUGACUGAGGUUAGUUCUUCUACGCUCAAGUGAUGCUCUGAAUGAGGACUCAAGGAGGAUUACGAUUCUAGUACCAAAUCCCAACUAAUAGGAGUGAGUUUUUAAUGAGUUGAUAACCAAUCCAAAAAUCAAGAUUUUAAUGAGUUGAUGUCUUACAAAAAGGAUUCUGCUGAAUUGGUAUUGAUAUGCAUUUGGAAGUAUGAUUUUAUUUGACAUACACCAAUCAGAAUUUUCUUCCUCGAAUUGAAUUGUUUUUUAUUUUUAAGAAAAUGUUGGUGAUGUUAAUGCUGCUGAAUUUUUGGCAUGGAUAUACAUAUAGGAGACUGUGGGGAUCUAUCUACUAUCCAUACGAGUAUUUUCAUUUUGUACCAUUCUGUAUUAUAUUUUUUUCUAGGAUCCUGACUAUGAUUUCAACAGGAAGAGCAAGUAGAAUAUCACAGUGAAGGCACUUAUUCUUGUUGGAGGGUUUGAAACAAGGUUGAGGCCAUUGACACUAAGUGUUCCCAAGCCGCCUGUUGAUUUUGCCAACAAACCUAUGAUCCUUCAUCAGAGGCUCUUAAGGCUAUCGGAGUCAAUGAAGUGGUUUUGGCUAUUAAUUAUCAACCAGAGGUGAAGAGAUGAAAGCUUCUGUAUUACCUCAACCGUACAAUGCUUAUUCGAGUAUAAAGAUUGAUGCUUCUGAAGUUUGGAGAACUAAUAACGGGCUCACUCCUUAUUUCUGUAGGUGAUGUUGAACUUCUUGUAGGAUUUUGAAACAAAGCUUGGGAUCAAGAUCACUUGCUUGCAAGAGACUGAGCCACUCGGCACUGCUGGUCCUCUGGCUCUUGCUAGGGACAAACUAAUAGAUGAAUCUGGUGAGCCAUUUUUUGUCCUCAACAGUGAUGUUAUAAGUGAAUACCCACUUAAGGAAAUGAUAGCAUUCCACAAAUCCAAUGGAGGGGAAGCCUGAUGAUCUAAUCGAUCCUAACGUUUGAUUUAUGUUUGUCACAUUUUUUUUUUCAUGUAAUAUUCACUUUUCGUUCACAUUUAUAAGCUUUCAAUUGUUAGCUUUUUAUUUGAUAAUCAACUUUAUGCAAUUAUUCACUUCACCAAUGAUUGUUAUAGAAACGAUAAAUUCUAUAUGUAAGAGAGAAUUGACAACUUUUGGGUUU